CCCUUGUUAGCUCAGUUGGUAGAGCAUCAGACUCUUGACCUCAGGGUCGUGGGUUCGAGCCCCACACUGGGCA